rnacentral:rRNA from 1 species
GCAACUCGCCUACAUGAAGCUGGAAUUGCUAGUAAUCAUAGGUCAGCAUACUAUGGUGAAUACGUUCCCGGGCCUUGUACACACCGCCCGUCACACCAUGAGAGUUGAGAAUACCCGAAGUCCAUGUUAAAGUGGCCGAAGGUAGGCUUGAUGAUUGGGGUGAAGUCGUAACAAGGUAGC